GCGAGACACAUUGAUUGUAUAUUAGGAAUAAGAGGUUACUAACUCUGUGCCAGCAGUAGCGGUAAUACAGAGACCUCGAGCGUUAUCCGGAUUUAUUGGGCGUAAAGAGCAUGUAGGCGGACAUAUUAGUCAGAUGUCAAAUCUUCGAGCUCAACUCGAAAACUGCAUUUGAAACGGUAUAUCUAGAGAANNNNNNNNNNNNNNNNNNNNNNNNNNNUAGCAGUAAAAUGCGUUGAUAUCAUAUGGAACACCAAAGGUGAAAGCAUUUAGUUAGUACCUUUCUGACGCUGAGAUGCGAAAGCGUGGGUAGCGAAUGGGAUUAGAUACCCCAGUAGUCCACGCCCUAAACGAUGCAUACUAGGCAUUAAGAGAAUCGACCCUUUUAGUGUCGGAGCUAACGCGUUAAGUAUGCCGCCUGGGAAGUACGGUCGCAAGACUAAAACUCAAAGGAAUAGACGGGGAUCCGCACAAGUGGUGGAGCAUGUGGUUUAAUUCGACAAUAAGCGAGGAACCUCACCAGGGCUUGAAACUUAGCUGCAUUGUGUAGAAAUACACAAGCCUUCGAGGGUGCUAAGCAGGUGCUGCACGGUUGUCGUCAGCUCGUGCCGUAAGGUGUUCUGUUAAGUCAGGAAACGAGCGCAACCCCUAUCAAGUGUUAAAUUUUUCACUUGAAACUGCCCAGCUCUAAGCGCGCUUCGCGCUUAAAUUCUAAAUUCUAAAUUCUAAAUUUUAAAAUAAUUUAUAAUGAUUUAAUUUAAAAAUUUUAUCAUUUGGAUUUCAUUUAAAAUUGAAAAUUUAAAAUUGAAAAUUUAGCGUUUAGCAAACGCGUUUGGAGCUGGGAGGAAGGUGGGGAUGACGUCAAAUCAGCGUGGCCCUCUGACGCCCUGGGCUACACACGUGCUACAAUGGCCGAAACAAAAGGUUGCCAAGUCGUAAGACGGAGCCAAUCCUAAAAAUUCGGUCUCAGUUCGGAUUGAGGUCUGCAACUCGACCUCAUGAAGCCGGAAUCACUAGUAAUCGUGAAUCAGCAAUGUCACGGUGAAUACGUUCUCGGAUCUUGUACUCACCGCCCGUCACGUCAAGGGAGCCGGUAAUACCCAAAGACCCUGAAUCAAAUCUGGGGCUACGGUAGGACCGGUAACAGGGACGAAGUCGUAACAAGGCAUCGGUAGCGGAAGCUGUCGAUGGAUCACCUCCUUUCUA
rnacentral:rRNA from 1 species